CUGUUCUGAAAUGUCCUAGACAAGUGCCCGUUGAUAAGGCAAGGCAGUCACCGUCUCUCAGGGGUGGGGGGUAAUUUAACAUUGGAAAUCGAAAAUCAUUUCUUUCAGGGGAAUACAAUUCAGUCUUAAAUUUUCUCUUCAGUGGCCUUACGUUUACUGCCGAAUCUUAGAAUGUAUUAUAACAAUUUGGUAUUAAGAAAAAUAUGCAUUAAGUCAUCUUGUCAAACACUACAUAUGGUCAUUUAAGGUAAGAGUACCAAUUUUUAAAAAUUUUAUCUUAGCAAGUUGUUUCUAAUCAAAAACUGUGUUUUACCUGAGAAUGUCCUGUGUUCAUUAAAUAAUAAGCUGAUUGGCUAAUAAUUAAAACAGACAUACAGAGGCCAUCAUCUAUGGAAGGAGGGCCUGUCACUUACACACGUGUGUCCAGUGUGUUCAGUGUCCUUGGAUGCUGAUUUAACUGGCUUCUUUUACACAGCUUCCAGGUCCUCCUGCCUUACGCAGGAGUCCGAGCAUAAACCAACAGGUAAUCGCAGUCACCUUUUCCUUCUGCAGGACCCUGGUCAUGCCACAGCCUGCUGGACAACUGCCUUUAAGCUUGCAUUAACUGUUGUACAGUUGCUAUCUCCUGCCUCGUGUUCUGGAUCUUUGCCAACUGUUACGUUUUCUCACGGCUCCCUGGACAGCCCUACUUCUGAGGCACUCUGGCUGCUGCUCUCCUGUCACCCUUCUGUCAGCCUUGAAGCAGUUACUGGGAGAUUGACACUCCCAAUCCUUAAAAACAGUUUGAGUAGCCUCUGAAAGGGGACUAAUGGGCCACGGGCCGUCCAACUCAUUCCUCUCUGGCCAUUGCUUUGGGACUCAGAACUAAAGCAGCUGGCCUGAAGCCUUCUUUGGAUCAGGUCACUUCUCUGUCUCACCAGCUCAGCUCAGCCUAACACCUGUCAGGACCAGCUCCACUCCGUGACUGCUGUCGUGCUCCAAGGUUACAAAGAACUAACUCUGACUACUGACAAGGAUGGGGUCUGUGCCCUCAGACGAUGCUGCUCCUUGCUAAGAAAUCUUAACUGGCUUGAAAUGAGGCCACCUAGAGACAGGAGCUAGACAAAAAUUCAACCACAAACCUCCUCCUGUGCAGCGACUUCUGGUUCCCUCCCACACUGGCUCCUCCCACUCUGGCUCCUCCCACUCUGGCCGCUCCCACUCUGGCUCCUCCCACUCUGGCUCCUCCCACUCUGGCUCCUCCCACUCUGGCUCCUCCCACUCUGGCUCCUCCCACUCUGGCUCCUCCAGUGGGUCACUCCCUUCCUCAUAUUUAGGUUUUUCUCUGUCUUUUAAAUGUCUUACUUACUGACCUUCACCCUAUACCCAAACAAUACUUCUGCACAAGUUCUCCCAAUAGCCCUCCCCUACAACAUCUCCAUUCGUUCUUAAUACAUCCAAAAACAAACGACCCUUUAGAGGCUGUGGAGAAACUGGCUAGAGUGGACCUGUAGAACUAGAGUUUUAAAAAGGUUACUCAUUGUCAGAGUCCGGAUGUGCAGGGCCGGACGUGCCUGAGGGAGAGCCAGAGAUAGGACUUGCCAAACCAGCUAUCAGCCCCAAGGACACUGACCAUCCGUAGCCACCCCCUCCCCUUCCUUCACUCCCCAGAAGUGAGUCACCCCCGAGUGAGAUGAGCCACCCUACCUGCCUGCCGAGCUGCUAGAGAGCACGUACUCCUUGCUGAUGUAAUUUCACGCCGAAAGUAACUGUGCACCAUUUGAAUUGACCAAUCAUGUGUAACUUCACGAAUGCCCCUAACCUCCCCUAUAUAAACCCCCGAGUUUGGAGGCUCGGGGUCGAUUCCUCUGUCUCCUGUGUGAGAUACGUAUCGACCCGGGAUCCCGCUAAUAGGGAUCUCGUUAAUAAAAGCUACCUCCUGCUGU